UGCCAGCAGCCGCGGUAAUACGGAGGGGGCUAGCGUUGUUCGGAAUUACUGGGCGUAAAGCGUGCGUAGGCGGAUCGACAAGUUGGGGGUGAAAUCCCGGGGCUCAACCCCGGAACUGCCUUGUAAACUCCUGGUCUUGAGUUCGAGAGAGGUGAGUGGAAUUCCGAGUGUAGAGGUGAAAUUCGUAGAUAUUCGGAGGAACACCAGUGGCGAAGGCGGCUCACUGGCUCGAUACUGACGCUGAGGUACGAAAGUGUGGGGAGCAAACAGGAUUAGAUA
rnacentral:rRNA from 1 species